rnacentral:rRNA from 1 species
UACGGGGGGUGCGAGCGUUGUCCGGAAUCACUGGGCGUAAAGGGCGCGUAGGUGGCCUGAUAAGGGUGUGGUGAAAGUCCGGGGCUCAACCCCGGAUCGGCCGUGCCGACUGUUAGGCUAGAGUACUGUAGGGGCAGGCGGAAUUCCGGGUGUAGCGGUGGAAUGCGUAGAGAUCGGGAGGAACACCAGUGGCGAAGGCGGCUACCUGGACCAGCACUGACACUGAGGCACAAAAGCGUGGGGAGCAAACAGG